UCAUUAUUGAACAAACCUGAUGGGUUGUCGCUGGCUUCUAGGAGCAUGUGCACGCCUGUCAUCUUUAUCCAUCCACCUGUGCACACUUUGUAGUCUUGGAGUAGUGAGUGUAACACAUCGAGGAACAACUUUGGUCCUCGGACAGAGGCCUGCCAUGCGAUAGUGUGGCUGACCUUACUACUUGCGCAAACUCUCUGAGUCUAUGUCUUUCAUAUACCACAAUGAAUUGUAAUAGAAUGUUUUUAUUGGGCCCUAGUGCCUAUAAAAUGAAAUACAACUUUCAGCAACGGAUCUCUUGGCUCUCGCAUCGAUGAAGAACGCAGCGAAAUGCGAUAAGUAAUGUGAAUUGCAGAAUUCAGUGAAUCAUCGAAUCUUUGAACGCACCUUGCGCUCCUUGGUAUUCCGAGGAGCAUGCCUGUUUGAGUGUCAUUUAAUUCUCAACCCCACCAGCUGUUUUUGGCUGGCUUUGGUGGCUUGGACGUGGGGGAUGUUUUUGCGGGCCUCUUUAGAGGUCAGCUCCCCUGAAAUGCAUUAGUGGAGCCGUUUGCGGGACCGUUCACAGGUGUGAUAAUUAUCAUCACCGAAGACAACCGCUCUCAUGUAGUUCUGCUUCUAAUCGUCCUUUUGCAUGGACAACAAUAUUUGAAUGCUUGACCUCCAAUCAGGUAGAACUACCCGCUGAACUUAAGCAUAUCAAUAAGCGGAGGAAAAGAAACUAACAAGGAUUCCCCUAGUAACUGCGAGUGAAGCGGGAAAAGCUCAAAUUUAAAAUCUGGCGGUCUUUGGCCGUCCGAGUUGUAAUCUAGAGAAGCGUCACCCGCGCUGGACCGUGUACAAGUCUCCUGGGAUGGAGCGUCAUAGAGGGUGAGAAUCCCGUCUCUGACACGGACUACCAGGGCUUUGUGGUGCGCUCUCAAAGAGUCGAGUUGUUUGGGAAUGCAGCUCUAAAUGGGUGGUAAAUUCCAUCUAAAGCUAAAUAUUGGCGAGAGACCGAUAGCGAACAAGUACCGUGAGGGAAAGAUGAAAAGAACUUUGGAAAGAGAGUUAAACAGUACGUGAAAUUGCUGAAAGGGAAACGCUUGAAGUCAGUCGCGUUGGCCGGGGAUCAGCCUCGCUCUUGCGUGGUGUAUUUCCUGGUUGACGGGUCAGCAUCAAUUUUGACCGCUGGAAAAAGAUUUAGGGAAUGUGGCAUCUUCGGAUGUGUUAUAGCCCUUUUUCAUAUACGGCGGUUGGGAUUGAGGAACUCAGCACGCCGCAAGGCCGGGUUUCGACCACGUUCGUGCUUAGGAUGCUGGCAUAAUGGCUUUAAUCGACCCGUCUUGAAACACGGACCAAGGAGUCUAACAUGCCUGCGAGUGUUUGGGUGGAAAACCCGAGCGCGUAAUGAAAGUGAAAGUUGAGAUCCCUGUCGCGGGGAGCAUCGACGCCCGGACCAGAACUUUUGGGACGGAUCUGCGGUAGAGCAUGUAUGUUGGGACCCGAAAGAUGGUGAACUAUGCCUGAAUAGGGUGAAGCCAGAGGAAACUCUGGUGGAGGCUCGUAGCGAUUCUGACGUGCAAAUCGAUCGUCAAAUUUGGGUAUAGGGGCGAAAGACUAAUCGAACCAUC
rnacentral:rRNA from 1 species